GGAUACAUAGCAGAAUGUGCAAGUCGCAAAAUGAGCACUAGUGCAAAUCGCAGAAGGUGCAGAUCGUAAAACGAGCAGGUCGCGAAAUGUGCAAAUCGUAAAAAGUGCAGGCCGCAUAAUGUGCAAAUCAUAAAAAGCGCAGGUCGCCAAAUGUGC